UCGUCUUUUCGCAUUCAAUUAAUUCAACAUCGUCGUCGACCUCUGAACGCCAAAAGAAGGCACUCUCCCCCGUCGAUAAAUCUCCGAGAGUUGUCUUGAAUGAUGAAGAAGGGUACAAUUUUCUCGGAAAAAGAUAAGAGGAGCCACCAGAGUUCGCUUUGAUUUCUAACUUCCUAAACAAUAGCGCGGCUAGAUUGUUAUUGUUUUAGUAUAUAAGUGUAUACUUUGGAACGCUAUAUUAUGAAUCAGUUAAUUUCUAACUUUCUCAUUACGAA